rnacentral:lncRNA from 1 species
GGUCCAACACCAUAUGGAAGCUGCCAAGGCUUGAAGCAAUGGCCUAAGCUGGAUCUCGACCCCUUUUAGCCACAGCUGAAACUGGAAUGGCUGGGAUGCAGGACACCAAGUCCCAAGGCUGCACAGAGCAACAGGUCCCUGGGCCAGGCCCAGCAUUAGGCCUAUCAAGUGUCAUGCACAGCUCAAGAGGAAAUGCUAUCUGGAAAUCCCCCAACUCCCAUGGAAAUUCCCAGCUGGCUCCCUGUACACUGCAGAUACCUGAAGUGGUUUUGAAGACUGGGCAGCUAAGACCUAAGUGAAGAAGAAUUCCUCCCCUGCAAGGAUGACCAAGAACCCAGCCGCUCUGUUUCCUUCCCGACUGGAGUCCUCUUCUCCACUGGGACCAGCUGUAUCCACCUGACCUCCAAGAGCACUCUCCAUGCCACGCACAGGGCACUGAGUGAACACCCACCUCAUUUCUCCCAGCAUGGAAAGUCAUUCCAGGAAUUCUGUGGGCAGUGGAGAGGCCCUUCCCCUUCCAGCAUGGGAAAGCCAGGCUGGUUGGGAAGCAGCUCAACUCAAGCUGCUGCUGAUACAGGUGCCCUCUCCUAGCCCCUCCCUUGUCCCCACCUGCAUUUCACCUCAAUUUCUAUCUGCAUAUGUGUCAAGUUCUCCCAAAUCCAGCAGCCACCAUGCCUGGCCUCACC